rnacentral:rRNA from 1 species
AUGACUCUCGGCAACGGAUAUCUCGGCUCUUGCAUCGAUGAAGAACGUAGCGAAAUGCGAUACUUGGUGUGAAUUGCAGAAUCCCGUGAACCAUCGAGUCUUUGAACGCAAGUUGCGCCCGAAGCCACUAGGUUGAGGGCACGCCUGCCUGGGUGUCA